UGAUACGUUGUUGGGUAGGGGAGCGUUCUGUAAGCCUGUGAAGGUGGCCUGUGAGGGUUGCUGGAGGUAUCAGAAGUGCGAAUGCUGACAUAAGUAACGAUAAAGCGGGUGAAAAGCCCGCUCGCCGGAAGACCAAGGGUUCCUGUCCAACGUUAAUCGGGGCAGGGUGAGUCGACCCCUAAGGCGAGGCCGAAAGGCGUAGUCGAUGGGAAACGGGUUAAUAUUCCCGUACUUGGUGUUACUGCGAAGGGGGGACGGAGAAGGCUAUGUUGGCCGGGCGACGGUUGUCCCGGUUUAAGCGUGUAGGUGUGUGUUCCAGGUAAAUCCGGUUCACUUUAACACUGAGGCGUGAUGACGAGGC
rnacentral:rRNA from 1 species